AAGAAGAAGAAGAAGAUGAUGAUGAUGAUGCAUCGUUAUGAUUUACGACGAGAAGAUUUGUUUGUGUUUCCGGGUUCAAAGUGAUCAUUUUGAUGAGUUUUUCGCCCCUAAGUUGGACAAACAUGGUUAUCAAGCUCUCUACAAGAAGAAGACAACAGAGGUUUACACCGGGACUUAUGCUAUCGAUGGUUGUGCAACAUUUUUCCGAAGGGACAGAUUUUCCCAUGUGAAGAAAUACGAGGU